rnacentral:rRNA from 1 species
GUACAGUGAAGUGGCUGAUACCAUGCUUCCAGGAAAAGUCUCUAAGCUUCAGUUACACAGGAAUCGUACCCGAAACCGACACAGGUGGUCAGGUCGAGUAGACCAAGGCGCUUGAGAGAACUCUGCUGAAGGAACUAGGCAAAAUGGUACCGUAACUUCGGGAGAAGGUACGCUGUUGUUGGUGAUGGAACUUGCUUCCUGAGCUGACGACAGCCGCAGAAACCAGGCCGCUGCAACUGUUUAUUAAAAACAUAGCACUCUGCAAACACGAAAGUGGACGUAUAGGGUGUGAUGCCUGCCCGGUGCUGGAAGGUUAAUUGAUGGGGUUAGCGUAAGCGAAGCUCUUGAUCGAAGCCCCAGUAAACGGCGGCCGUAACUAUAACGGUCCUAAGGUAGCGAAAUUCCUUGUCGGGUAAGUUCCGACCUGCACGAAUGGCAUAAUGAUGGCGGCGCUGUCUCCAGCAGAGGCUCAGUGAAAUCGAAAUCGCUGUGAAGAUGCAGUGUACCCGCGGCUAGACGGAAAGACCCCGUGAACCUUUACUGCAGCUUGACACUGAACUUUGACCUUACUUGUGUAGGAUAGGUGGGAGGCUUUGAAGUUGGAACGCUAGUUCCAAUGGAGCCGUCCUUGAAAUACCACCCUGGUAAUGUUGAGGUUCUAACUCUGUCCCGUUAUCCGGGACGAGGACCGUGUCUGGUGGGUAGUUUGACUGGGGCGGUCUCCUCCUAAAGAGUAACGGAGGAGUACGAAGGUGCGCUCAGCGUGGUCGGAAAUCACGCGUAGAGUAUAAAGGCAAAAGCGCGCUUAACUGCGAGACCCACAAGUCGAGCAGGUACGAAAGUAGGUCUUAGUGAUCCGGUGGUUCUGUAUGGAAGGGCCAUCGCUCAACGGAUAAAAGGUACUCUGGGGAUAACAGGCUGAUACCGCCCAAGAGUUCAUAUCGACGGCGGUGUUUGGCACCUCGAUGUCGGCUCAUCUCAUCCUGGGGCUGAAGCAGGUCCCAAGGGUAUGGCUGUUCGCCAUUUAAAGAGGUACGCGAGCUGGGUUUAGAACGUCGUGAGACAGUUCGGUCCCUAUCUACCGUGGGCGCUGGAAAUUUGAGAGGAUCUGCUCCUAGUACGAGAGGACCAGAGUGGACGAACCUCUGGUGUACCGGUUGUGACGCCAGUCGCAUCGCCGGGUAGCUAUGUUCGGAAGGGAUAACCGCUGAAAGCAUCUAAGCGGGAAGCCUACCUCAAGAUAAGAUUUCCCUAGGAAUUUAUUCCUCUAAAGAGCCGUUCGAGACUAGGACGUUGAUAGGUUGGAUGUGGAAGCAUAGUGAUAUGUGAAGCUGACCAAUACUAAUUGCUCGUGAGGCUUGACUAUACAACACCCAAGCAGUUG